rnacentral:rRNA from 1 species
ACGUAGGGUGCGAGCGUUAAUCGGAAUUACUGGGCGUAAAGCGUGCGCAGGCGGUGAUGUAAGACAGGUGUGAAAUCCCGGGGCUCAAUCUCGGAACUGCAUUUGUGACUGCAUCGCUGGAGUGCGGCAGAGGGGGGUGGAAUUCCGCGUGUAGCAGUGAAAUGCGUAGAUAUGUGGAGGAAUACCGAUGGCGAAGGCAGCCCCCUGGGAUAACACUGACGCUCAUGCACGAAAGCGUGGGGAGCAAACAGGA